rnacentral:rRNA from 1 species
AUUGAACGCUGGCGGCAGGCUUAACACAUGCAAGUCGAGCGAGCGGCGGACGGGUGAGUAAUUUAUGGGAAACUGCCUGAUGGAGGGGGAUAACUACUGGAAACGGUAGCUAAUACCACAUACAAUCAGAUGUGCCCAGAUGGGAUUAGAUAGUAGGGGGGGUAAUGGCUCACCUAGGCGACGAUCCCUAGCUGGUCUGCGAGGAUGACCAGCCACACUGGAACUUAGACACGGUCCAGACUCCUACGGGAGGCAGCAGUGGUGAAUAUUGCACAAUGGGCGUAAGCCUGAUGCAGCCAUGCCGCGUGUGUGAAGAAGGCCUUCUGGUUGUAAAGCACUUUCAGCGAGGAGGCGUUACUCGCAGAAGAAGCACCGGCUAACUCCGUGCCAGCAGCCGCGGUAAUAC